rnacentral:rRNA from 1 species
CAGUCGCCGCGGUAAUACGAAGGGGGCUAGCGUUGUUCGGAAUCACUGGGCGUAAAGGGUGCGUAGGCGGGAUCUUAAGUCAGGGGUGAAAUCCCGAGGCUCAACCUCGGAACUGCCUUUGAUACUGGGGUCCUUGAGUCCGGAAGAGGUGAGUGGAACUGCGAGUGUAGAGGUGAAAUUCGUAGAUAUUCGCAAGAACACCGGUGGCGAAGGCGGCUCACUGGUCCGGAACUGACGCUGAGGCACGACAGCGUGGGGAGCAAACAGGAUUAGAUACCCCGGUAGUCCCUGUCUCUUAUAC